GCAGGAUUAAGUUUUCCACAAAACUUGAUGUGCUCAUGAAUCCAUGUCUACAUUUAAAUUUAAGUGUUAGAACAUUAAAAACUACAAUAACAAUAUCUACCAAACUAAUAAAAAUGUAAUUACCUCUAAUAGAGAAAGAUAUUUAGCUAUUUGUUUUGUAUUCCACUUUGAGGCUCGAUGAAGUUGAUUAUAAAAGUAUGUUAAACAAGCCGAACCCCAAGUAUAAUUGGAAACAUGCAUCUUCCAACUGCUUCAAACACUGAAGAACAUAAACAUGCAUUCUAUUUCCAGACUUGUCAGAAAAAUACUAUUGACCCCAACAAACAAAAUAAAAAGCCUCGAAUACGCCUUUCCAUCUGUUUCGUCUUUUCCAUCUUUUGUGCCUCGAUUUCAACAUCACUUACUAUUUUCUGAUGUUCGUUCAUUGGAUGUGUUGGUAGCAUCAGUAGUAGUUUCCUCCUCUGUAUCCCUUCUUAGACUUUUUCUCCACUUCGCAAAACAAAUCUCUAACCCAAUCAAAUCUUACCCAGAAAGAUUUGUUUCUCUUCAACUCAAGUUUUGCCUUUUCGAAGUAUCACACCUAAGUUAUCCAUCAACACCUUUACAACAUCAUCAUUUUCAAGAGUAUUCCCGCUAACAGGUUUCCCAACUACUGUUAAGCCAGUGAUGUAUUUGACAUCAUCUAAAGUAAUCGUCAUCUCUCCAAAGGGUAAGUGAAAUGACGUAGUUUCCGAAUGCCAAUGUUCUACGAAGGCCGACACAAGGUGGGUGUUUAUGUAUUGAGGAAGAUAUUGUAGGAACACAUGUAAACCUGGAUUCUUAACAACAUUAUGUACAAACUCUGGUUCAUUUUUGAGUUUCCAUUGAUAAAAAUUGAUUGGUGAUAACGACAUGUAAGAGGACCGCGUUCAUGUAAUAACAAUUUAACUUUCUUAAUUAAAUGAAAAAAUUACUUAACAUAAAAAAAGAAAUUGUUAUAAUUGUUUGGCAUUACCUUGUUCCCCCAAAUUGCAUAAACAAUGUGAGCUCUCUUAAAACCCUUUAACAAAGAUAGAUCAGUAGGACCACCAUAUUCUUCAAGAUCCGGAAGGAUUUUGUGUUUGGAUUUAUCUACUUGUUCAAUUUCUUCUUCUACAUCUUCAUCAAUUUUUACUUCUUGAUCUUGAUUAGCUUCUUCUUCAGGCUAAGGUUCUCCUUGUUGAGAUGAUGAUACCGCUACAACUUUCCUAUUUUAGGGAUUUGGAUGGUCCGUUUCUUUUUCCUUUUCAUACAUUUUCCUUGCACUAACAAUAACUUCUCUCCUCAUCUAGGCAUUAAAACAAUAACACACAAACUUUCAAUGAUAGAGAUAACAAUGAUUGGAUCAUAGGAAAGUGAUUAGUCAUAACAAUUAUGGUACGAACUAAUAUGAUCAAAGCAACACAUAAAGUUAAUGUAACUGAAAUAUAACUUCAUCCAAAAAAAAAAAAA
rnacentral:lncRNA from 1 species